rnacentral:rRNA from 1 species
GACGAACGCUGGCGGCGUGCUUAACACAUGCAAGUCGAACGGAAAGGCCCCUUCGGGGGUACUCGAGUGGCGAACGGGUGAGUAACACGUGAGUAACCUGCCCUUGCCUUCGGGAUAACUUCAGGAAACUGGGGCUAAUACCGGAUAGGAAUCCUUGCUGCAUGGUGGGGGUUGGAAAGCUUCGGCGGUUUUGGAUGGACUCGCGGCUUAUCAGCUUGUUGGUGGGGUAGUGGCUUACCAAGGCUUUGACGGGUAGCCGGCCUGAGAGGGCGACCGGCCACAUUGGGACUGAGAUACGGCCCAGACUCCUACGGGAGGCAGCAGUGGGGAAUAUUGCACAAUGGGCGGAAGCCUGAUGCAGCAACGCCGCGUGCGGGAUGACGGCCUUCGGGUUGUAAACCGCUUUCAGCAGGGGCGAAGCUUGUGGUGACGGUACCUGCAGAAGAAGCACCGGCUAACUACGUG